rnacentral:rRNA from 1 species
CAUGCAAGUCGAGGGGCAGCAUGAACUUAGCUUGCUAAGUUUGAUGGCGACCGGCGCACGGGUGAGUAACACGUAUCCAACCUGCCGAUGACUCGGGGAUAGCCUUUCGAAAGAAAGAUUAAUACCCGAUGGCAUAGUUCUUCCGCAUGGUAGAACUAUUAAAGAAUUUCGGUCAUCGAUGGGGAUGCGUUCCAUUAGGUUGUUGGCGGGGUAACGGCCCACCAAGCCUUCGAUGGAUAGGGGUUCUGAGAGGAAGGUCCCCCACAUUGGAACUGAGACACGGUCCAAACUCCUACGGGAGGCAGCAGUGAGGAAUAUUGGUCAAUGGACGAGAGUCUGAACCAGCCAAGUAGCGUGAAGGAUGACUGCCCUAUGGGUUGUAAACUUCUUUUAUACGGGAAUAAAGUGAGGCACGUGUGCCUUUUUGUAUGUACCGUAUGAAUAAGGAUCGGCUAACUCCGUGCCAGCAGCCGCGGUAAUACGGAGGAUCCGAGCGUUAUCCGGAUUUAUUGGGUUUAAAGGGAGCGUAGGCGGACGCUUAAGUCAG